UCCACCCACACAGACAGAAACAUCCACCCACACGCCGGAAAUUGCGUGCUGGUGGAUGUCUGGAGCGCGAGUUGCACAUUAUUCAACAGCGCCCCCUCGGGUCACAUGGUAGGUGAAUAUUCAAAACACAGCGAUACAAUUAUAAAUGCACGAGACUUGCAUUUCUUUACCGAUCUAUUAGUUUCUGAUGUCUCUGCUCAUGAUUUCAAUUUAUUACACAGAGGAAGAGCAUAUUUGUGGCUGAUCUCAAUGCUGUUCCGACUUGGCGAUAUCCAACAGCAUGUGACCCACUUUCAAGUUUACCUGAUGAUGUUUACUUCAGAGACGCUGUUGUAAUUCCUGUUUGGAAACCUGGACAUUUCUUGUUAUCUGUUUUGGACACAGGCCAGAGAGAGAUAUUCUUUCUGGAUUCCAAAUGUGAACAUGCACAGUUUGGAUUUGGCGAUCUAGAAAUGAGAGAACUGUUGAGGUCACUAACACAAACUAGCAUGAUGGUUCUUAUUGAUGUUCCUGAUUGAUGCAGUUUCAAUGCCUUUCUGUUUGUUCCAAAAUGUUUGUUCUCCAGAUCAUGUUCUAAUCUGUAUAGCAGCCAUUUUAUGGUGCUGCUUAUAUAUAACAUGAAUAUUGGAUAUCAACUUAACCUUAGAAUUUAACAAGAAAUGUCCACACACUGUGAACUCCUAAACUUACAAUAAAUUGAAACCGCUAAGUGAGUAUAUAUAAUGGUACCAUAAAAAGCCUGUUGAAAUGGUGUGUGUGACUGCAUGAAGAUCUUGUUCCUGACUAAAUAGAUUGCGUCAUGUGUGCGGUACAUAUUUUGCAUGAUUGAUAUGCUCUAAAUGCUGCUGUCUGUUCCAUUUUAGAAACCUUUGUCAGUCUCUCAGCCCUGGGCCAUGGAAAGAGACGACUGGUUUGGACAUCGAGGUAAAUAUAUUGUUGUUUAAUGAUACUGUGAAACUAGAAGUACAAAUACUAACUCAUUUCUGACAUGAUGGGGCUUUCCACGGCAAAAGUAUGGCAUCGACUGUGGCAUCUUCAUGUUGAUGGUAGGUGU